rnacentral:lncRNA from 1 species
GAGUCGUCAAAUGAGCCAAGAAAGCCCAAGCUUAUACGCAUUGGCCCACAGGACAGGGUGCCCCAAUAGGGCCCGAAUGAAAGACCCAAGCCUACAUGAACCAUCAAAGAAAGUCCUACAAAUGAAGACUUGUGCCUGUUUCGAUGAAACCUCGAUGAAAGCCCACAGAAGGGCCCAAGCACAACAAGCCUACCCAUCAUCAAAGCAAGCCCAUGCAAGAAGGACCUCAUUGUCAUGGAAGCCCUUUCCUUACUCCUCAAUAUAGUCUAUGAGAACGUUUGUUUUUCUGACCAACUCUCAUGGCUUUAGGAGGGGGCGGGCCCCUACCCUAUCUGUGCUUUCUCUCUUCUGUUCUCUAUUUUCUAUUAGUUGGAGCUGUCUGCUUUUCCCUCUCCCCAACCGCUGUCAUGUCCCGCUACGCUAGUUCUACUGUGCUAGAAUAGCUAAU